UAUUUAUUUUAUAUGUUUUAUGCAAAUUUUAAAUGACAUUUAUGAAUUCAAAAAUAAAAAUCUAUGUUUUGUUUAUUAAAUCAUGUCAAGAUUAUAAUAAGAAAAUUAUUACAUGAUUAAGGUUGACAUACAAUUUUAACAUUUUUUUAAAUCAAUUAGUAUUAAUAUGAAUAAUAUUCCUAUUUUUCUUUAGAAAUUAGAUUGCCAGGGAUAUACAUACAUACGAGUGGAUUAGUUAUUAUGAUUAGAGUUAUUUGGGCCAAUAGCAUACACGUGUCAAUUAAUCUAGAUGGAUUGGACCCAGCUCAAGUGCUCGCACGCACACGAACCUGAUGCGCACUCUUCCUAUCGCUAUCCUCGCCUCUUCGCACGCACGCGAACAGCACGCCUCCGCGAUGCAGCCGCCGCCUGUCGUCACUCCGGUCAUCGCCGGCCGUCUCCGGCGCCGCUGUCCGUCAGCGAAGCUCCGCCAUCCUCUCCUCCCCUGGUUUCCCUUCACCACGACGCCCGGUCGCCAACAUGCGCGCGCCCGCGAGGAUCCCAGCCCCGCCAUGCCGCCACUUUCUUCUGGCCGGUUCCGGCCAUCUCUGGCGCUGGCUUGGUAUGGAUUUGUUUCGCCUCACCUCUCUCUACCCCUCACCCUGGUCGAUUUGAUUCUCGUGGCCUCUCCCGUUUGCCCCCAACUUGAAAACCCUAGCUACUGCCGGCCGAUUUGGCCAUCGCCGGCCUCCUCCUCCGACGCUGUUCCCCGGCGUGGCCUCACCACAGACCUCCCUGCCAUAUACCACUGCCUCAGCGCCGCCCCUUUCCCGCACGCGUGCUUCACGGCAACCCUAGCCCACGGUUGGCUCGGUCGCCGGCGUGUUUCCGUCGCCGCCGCGGGCAGACUGCUGCGAUGACGGUGAAUUGGUGGUGUUGUGCUGUGGUGUUGUUGUACUGGUGGAGCGGUGUGGUGUUGGUGGUGACUACUGCAUCCACGACGCCGGCCGGACGGCGUCUACGACUGCAACCCCGACGUCCGUGUACUGGUGGUGAUGCACUGGUGGGGAAUUGCUGUUGUGCUGGUGAUGAUUAUUUCAUCCUCGACGCCGGCUGGACGGUGCCGCGGACGCAACCCCGGCGUCGGCCUCUUCCUCUAUUCGACUACACCACUCCCGCUCGUCCUUGCUUCUUCAUAUUCUUCCUGGUGAUCUUGCUCAUCUUGGUGUUCUAGCUGGUUAGACUAGUGCAAGUGGUUGCUAGUGUAACUUUUCUACAUGGAGCAGGUUGUGGUACGGUUGAGCUGAUCCUUUUAUGCACUAGUGCUAUUGCUGUGGCUGAGACAGCUCACGGUUUGCAUGUAGUGUGUGUGCUGCCUGUGUGUAUGGUUCCUUUAUCUAGUGCAAGAAGACAAUCUUGCUUUCUCUUUCUCCUUGUGCAAGCAAUGACUGUUUGCUUUUAUCCCGUGUUGGCCUUUCUGUUGUGUAGACUAAGUGAAACUAGCUAGUUGUAUGGUACUGCUACAUAUGGACCUUCCUGACUAAUAUAAUUCAGUGAGCUAAACAACUCAAGUGUAACUUUCAUGUUAAUCAAGCUUCUGCUUAAUUAAAAAAAAUGUUGUUAAAUGUUAUGAUCAUUUUGACUUUUCAAUGUCAAACAUGAUCUAGAUAAAUACUUUUGUGGGCUUUAUGGUUUCUAGCUAGAUUAGAGGGAGAUUAAGAUAAUAUCGCAUGGUUGCCUAGAAUUGAACGGAAUCAAUCAAUUGUUGUCUGCUUGUCCCUUGUUGCCUGAGAGAUGAUUAGUGAUUGUCAAUGAAAAUGCCUCGUUGUUGCCUUUUAUAGAAUAGUGAUCACCCUUCUCGGAUUGUCUCUUGUUGCCUAUUAAAGAUUUACUCCCUCUAAUCACCGUUUGGGUAUUAAGACAAGUUCUUAAUUCCUAAUAGCUAGUUUCCAAUAUUAAAAUGUCUCCCAAAAUGCGGAGACAGACAUUUUAACCUUAACACAACAUUUCUUUGUCUUUAUUGUUUAUUUUGCAGCUAGAGGAUAAGAAAAUUGGGAAGAUUUGGAAUAUGAAGAUUUAGUUUAGAAAUUUCUUGUAUUCUUUUAUAAUUUUCUAUUUCUUUUCUAACUUGUAAUUUAUUGAAUAAUGUUAUUUGUAAUAAAGUUUGAAUUAUUUAUUCAUUUGGAAUUAUCAAAUGUGUUUACUAUUA